rnacentral:rRNA from 1 species
AACGAACGCUGGCGGCGUGCCUAACACAUGCAAGUCGAACGAGAAAGGGGCUUCGGCUCCGAGUAAAGUGGCGCACGGGUGAGUAACACGUGGGUAACCUGCCUCUAAGAUUGGGAUAACUCGUCGAAAGAUGAGCUAAUACCGAAUAAGACCACAGUUCCCGCGGGAACAGGGGUCAAAGGUAGCCUCUGCUUGCAAGCUAUCACUUAGAGAUGGGCCUGCGCACCAUUAGCUAGUUGGUAGGGUAACGGCCUACCAAGGCAAAGAUGGUUAGCUGGUCUGAGGGGAUGAUCAGCCACACUGGAACUGAGACACGGUCCAGACUCCUACGGGAGGCAGCAGUGGGGAAUAUUGCGCAAUGGGCGAAAGCUUGACGCAGCAACGCCGCGUGAGUGAUGAAGGCCUUCGGGUCGUAAAGCUCUGUCGGGAGGAACGAAUGCUCCUGAGGUUAACAGCCUCGGGAGGUGACGGUACCUUCAAAGGAAGCACCGGCUAACUCUGUG